GACGAACGCUGGCGGCGUGCUUAACACAUGCAAGUCGAACGGAAAGGCCCUGCUUUUGUGGGGUGCUCGAGUGGCGAACGGGUGAGUAACACGUGAGUAACCUGCCCUUGACUUUGGGAUAACUUCAGGAAACUGGGGCUAAUACCGGAUAGGAGCUCCUGCUGCAUGGUGGGGGUUGGAAAGUUUCGGCGGUUGGGGAUGGACUCGCGGCUUAUCAGCUUGUUGGUGGGGUAGUGGCUUACCAAGGCUUUGACGGGUAGCCGGCCUGAGAGGGUGACCGGCCACAUUGGGACUGAGAUACGGCCCAGACUCCUACGGGAGGCAGCAGUGGGGAAUAUUGCACAAUGGGCGGAAGCCGGAUGCAGCAACGCGGCGGGCGGGAUGACGGCCUUCGGGUUUUAAACCGCUUUCGCCUGUGACGAAGCGUGAGUGACGGUAAUGGGUAAAGAAGCACCGGCUAACUACGUG
rnacentral:rRNA from 1 species